GACGUAGGGCGCGAGCGUUGUCCGGAUUUAUUGGGCGUAAAGAGCUCGUAGGCGGCUUGUUGCGUCGACUGUGAAAACCCGCGGCUUAACUGCGGGCUUGCAGUUGAUACGGGCAGGCUAGAGUUCGGUAGGGGAGACUGGAAUUCCUGGUGUAGCGGUGAAAUGCGCAGAUAUCAGGAGGAACACCGGUGGCGAAGGCGGCCCCCUGGUUGGAUACUGACGCUGAUACGCGAAAAGCGUAGGGAGCAAACAGG
rnacentral:rRNA from 1 species